rnacentral:rRNA from 1 species
AUUUAACGCUGGCGGCAUGCCUUACACAUGCAAGUCGAACGGCAGCGGGGGAGAAGCUUGCUUUUCCUGCCGGCGAGUGGCGAACGGGUGAGUAAUACAACGGAACGUGCCCUGUAGUGGGGGAUAACUAGCCGAAAGAUUAGUUAAUACCGCAUACGACCUGAGGGUGAAAGUGGGGGACCGCCAGGCCGCACUCUAUAGGCACGGCCUAUGUCUGAUUAGAUAGUUGGUGGGGUAAAGGCCUAUCAAGGCGACGAUCAGUAACUGGUCUGAGAGGACGAUCAGCCACACUGGGACUGAGACACGGCCCAGACUCCUACGGGAGGCAGCAGUGGGGAAUUUUGGAGAAUGGGCGAAAGCGUGAUCCAGCAAUGCCGCGUGUGUGAAGAAGGCCUUCGGGUUGUAAAGCACUUUUGUACGGAAAGAAAUGGCUCUGGUUAAUACUUGGGGUCGAUGACGGUACCGGAAGAAUAAGGACCGGCUAACUACGUGCCAGCAGCCGCCGUAAGAC